rnacentral:rRNA from 1 species
GUUCUGGCAUCGAUGAAGAACGCAGCGAAAUGCGAUAAGUAAUGUGAAUUGCACAAUUCAGUGAAUCAUCGAAUCUUUGAACGCACAUUGCGCCCGGUGGUAUUCCGCCGGGCAUGCCUGUUCGAGCGUCAUUAUAACCAAUCAUGCCUGGCAUGGUGUUGGGGCACGCGGUCUCGCGGCCCUCAAAAUCAGUGGCGGUGCCGGUAGGCUCUAAGCGUAGUAAUUCUUCUCGCUACAGGGUCCUGCGGGUGGCUUGCCAGAACCCCCCAUUUUUUUCAGGUUGACCUCGGAUCAGGUAGGGAUACCCGCUGAACUUAAGCAUAUCAAUAAGCGGAGGAAAAGAAACCAACAGGGAUUACCUCAGUAACGGCGAGUGAAGCGGUAACAGCUCAAAUUUGAAAGCUCCCCACAGGGCGCAUUGUAAUUUGUAGAGGAUGCUUUGGGGGUCGGCCCGGUUUAAGUUCCUUGGAACAGGACGUCAUAGAGGGUGAGAAUCCCGUAUGUGACCGGUGCUAGCCUUCGUGUAAAGCUCCUUCGACGAGUCGAGUUGUUUGGGAAUGCAGCUCAAAAUGGGUGGUAUAUUUCAUCUAAAGCUAAAUAUUGGCCAGAGACCGAUAGCGCACAAGUAGAGUGAUCGAAAGAUGAAAAGCACUUUGGAAAGAGAGUUAAACAGUACGUGAAAUUGUUGAAAGGGAAGCGCUUGCAAU